rnacentral:sRNA from 1 species
UAAAUUAUCAUAUUAAUUUUUUAUUAAUUAUUAUAGUUCACUUCUCAUCUUUAUAUGAUUCUAUUUUUGCGGAAAAAUAAUAUCAUCAUUAUAAAAAAAUAAUUAGAGUUUUUUCCCAUAUGCCAUAAUUUGAAUUUUUAAAAACAAAUAUAAACUGUUCAGUACAUAAAAAAAUAUUAUAACGGAUAAAAAAUAGAUUUAAGAAAACUUUCUACUGAGUAACGGGUCAUAAUUUGAAAUAUUUAUAUUCAAUUUCAUACAUUUUAUAUUGAAAAUUUAUAAUCUUAUAUACUACAAUAAUUAAUAACAUAUUAGAUGUGAUUCAAUUUUUAAUACAAGUUGGAAAUCCUAUAAUUGAAUGUUUAGAUCGAUAUUAAUACAAGAUGGUAUACUACAGGUGAAACUCUUAAAUUAACAAUCAAACUACAAGUGUAUAAUCUUAAACACUAAACAAUAUAGAUAAUAUCAACAAAACAUAUACAACUCACAGUUUACUAUACAUUUAAAAUCAAAUAAAAUAAUAUCAAAUAUUUUUAAAUCAUCUUUACAAUAAAAAAUUUUAGUUUAACUAAAAUAUAUACCGCAGGUUAAUAUCUAGAUUAUAGGGCUUAUUGGAUCUAAAGACGGAUCAUCAAAGACUUCUUAAACUGAAGCAAAAUAUAUUGAAUAUUCAAAUAUCUAUAUGUUACCAAAUUAUAAACAAAUAAGUCAAUUUAAUAUUUUAUAUACGAAAUCAAUUAAAUCUUAAUCGCAUAAAAAUUAGCACAAAAAAAGUAUUCAUCAAUUAAAAAAUUAUCAAAUCUCUGGGUUAUAUAAGUUUUGAUACUAUAUUCGAAUAAAGUGUAAUAUACCUUUUCAAUUUGUAUUCUUUAACUAAUUUAAGCUAACUAAUAUAUUUGCUAAUCUUAUAUCUAUCAAAACCGACUAUCGUUUCUUCUCUCUAUAGUAUUUUUGCAAGACUUUUUUGGUGGAUUUGAAUAAAAGUGCAUUCGGGUCAUAUGGUACAUUCUCCUAUUAAAUAAAUAUGGUGCACUCAUAUGUUAUUAUCUAAAAUGUUUAGAUUCUAAUUCAGAGUCAUAAAUAAAAUUAAUAUUAACAAAAUAAAUAGCUUUUUGGCAAGACGGAUUUGGAGGGACGGAUUUUUGAAUCAACAUUAAUAAAAAAGUAGAAUAUAAUUAAUCCACCGUUUCAAUACGGGUUAAAUCUUUAAUUUAUUAUUUUUUAAGACCACUAAUAUUAAACAUAUCAAAUCAUCCUAAUUUCGAAAAGAUUAUAUAAAACCAAAAAUGUUAUGUGGUAUGUAUAAUGUUACUAUAUAUAAAAUUAAACUAUAGAUAUAAAUGUAUUAGAGAAUGAUACAAUUUGUAAAACUUUUAUAUAUAAAAAA